UGGCUCAGUGGUAGAGCAUCGGCAUGGAACGUCGAAAGUUUAGAGUUCAAAUCCUAA
rnacentral:tRNA from 1 species